GAGAGGUGUGUCCUAUAGAAUACAGUACAUAAACAUACCAUCCUCUCUCUCUCUGGAGAGGUGUGUCCUAUAGAAUACAGUACAUAAACAUACCAUCCUCUCUCUCUCUGGAGAGGUGUGUCCUAUAGAAUACAGUACAUAAACAUACCAUCCUCUCUCUCUCUGGAGAGGUGUGUCCUAUAGAAUACAGUACAUAAACAUACCAUCCUCUCUCUCUCUGGAGAGGUGUGUCCUAUAGAAUACAGUACAUAAACAUACCAUCCUCUCUCUCUCUGGAGAGGUGUGUCCUAUAGAAUACAGUACAUAAACAUACCAUCCUCUCUCUCUCUGGAGAGGUGUGUCCUAUAGAAUACAGUACAUAAACA